rnacentral:misc_RNA from 1 species
UUGAAAUAAACCUGAUGAGUUGUUGCUGGUUCUCUAGAGAGCAUUGUGCACGCUUGUCAUCUUUAUGUCUCCACCUGUGCACAUUUUGUAGACCUGGAUCACUCUCUGAAAUGCUAACCAGCAUUUUAGGUUGGAGGAAUUUGACUUUGUUGUCUUUCCUUGCAUUUCUAGGUCUAUGUUCUUUUUCAUAUAAUCUUAUUUGUGAUAUAAUGGACCCUAUUAUAAACCUAUA